UACGAAGGGUGCAAACGUUGCUCGGAAUUAUUGGGCGUAAAGCGCACGUAGGCGGCUUUGCAAGUCGGAUGUGAAAUCCCUCGGCUUAACCAAGGAAGUGCAUCCGAAACUGCAGAGCUUGAGUACUUAAGAGGAUCGCGGAAUUCCCGGUGUAGAGGUGAAAUUCGUAGAUAUCGGGAGGAACACCAGUGGCGAAGGCGGCGAUCUGGGAAGAUACUGACGCUGAGGUGCGAAAAGCGUGGGGGAGCAAACAGG
rnacentral:rRNA from 1 species